GAGACUUCCUUGGAAUGAUAAGGGGUCCAGAGAGUCGGCUCUUCUGGUGUGAACCCACAGACAAAGCCUGAAUCAUGAGGUCGUUAAGCCAAACUUGCAGCUGCUGCCCACUGAACCUCACCAUGACCCUUCAUCUGUCGUUCUGCCUCUCAGUGCCGGUGAGAUGAGCAGCACCUGUUGUAAUGGUCAGUUCCUCUCUGCAGACUCCUUCAGCUUCCAGUCUGGGGUAUUCUACAGUGCUGUAGCUGAGAUACACACAUUCUUUUCUUUACAAGCUGUUUUUAUUUUUUCCAUUUCUAGUCAGUGAACAUUAGGAGGUACUUCCUUGGUAUGAUGUAGGGUCUAGAGAGUUGGCUCUGCUGGUUUAAAACCACUAAGACAUGCUGGUUGAACCAUGAGGUAAUCAGUCUUUAUUACGCUGAUGAAGAGAACUGACAUUAAUGAUUAUUAGUGGAGUAUUUAUGUGAAAUAAAUGUUGAGUUUCCACUAAUUGUCAUCUGCAUGAAUUCCCUUAUACCAAAACUGAGGACUGUUUCUCUGGCAUACAGGUAAGAGAUUUGUUGUAGUGUCACAAAACCUUUGUUAAUUGAAGUGACUAACUUUUGUUCACUUUAAAUUGUUCUCUUAAGUCUGUAUCUGGGGGAGUUACAGAAAUCAUUUCCUGUAACAGCAUGGAGACUGUCACCGUGCCACUUGAGGACUAUGUGGUAAAUUUAUUACAAUGUCAUGUGUAUAUGUAGAUUUUUGGAAUUUGUUCUGUUCAUCUGUCUGCAGUGUCAAUAUUUGUCUGUCUCUUUUAAAUAACAGCAACCCUUGAAAAAGGUGACCUGCACUUGCCUGUAUUCUUCUCCAAAUGAAUUUAUCAUGUAACAUGUACAUUACAUCAAGAAUACAGUAAGUCUCUUAAAAUAAAGAGGAUUUUAUGUAUAAUUUUCAUGACCUUGUCAAGGCCACUGUAUUAAACGGUCCAAGAG